CAGAACCUCCGUUAAGGAACUAGGCAAAAUGACCUCGUAACUUCGGGAAAAGAGGUGCUCCUAAAGGUGUCAAAACCGGAAGGAGUUGCAGUGACAAGGCCCUGCCGACUGUUUACCAAAAACACAGGUCUAUGCGAAUUCGGAAAGAAGAAGUAUAUGGACUGACGCCUGCCCAGUGCUGGAAGGUUAAGGGGAGUGGUGCAAGCUACGAACCGAAGCCCCAGUAAACGGCGGCCGUAACAAUAACGGUCCUAAGGUAGCGAAAUUCCUUGUCGGGUAAGUUCCGACCUGCAUGAAUGGCGUAACGAGUUGGGCGCUGUCUCAACGGAGGAUCCGGUGAAAUUCCAGACUGGGUGAAGAUGCCCAGGACCCGCAGUUAGACGGAAAGACCCCAUGAGUUUUACUGUAACUUGAUAUUGUAAUUUGUUGUUAUGUGUACAGGAUAGGUGGGAGGCGGAGAAUCAAGGUCGUCAGAUUUUGAGGAGCCGACGGUGGGAUACCACCCUCAUGAUAAUGGAUUACUAACUAUUGUGUAUGAAGAGUACAGAUAGGACAGUGUUAGGUGGGCAGUUUGACUGGGGCGGUCGCAUCCUAAAGAGUAUCGGAUGCGUGCGAAGGUAGGCUCAGGUCGGUUGGAAAUCAACCGUUGAGUGCAAGGGCAAAAGCCUGCCUGACUGCGAGACUGACAGGUCGAGCAGAAGCGAAAGCUGGUCCUAGUGACCCGGCCGAUCCGAGUGGAAGGGCGGUCGAUCAACGGAUAAAAGUUACCCUGGGGAUAACAGGCUAAUCACGCCCGAGAGUUCACAUCGACGGCGUGGAUUGGCACCUCGAUGUCGGCUCAUCGCAUCCUGGGGCUGAAGCAGGUCCCAAGGGUUGUGCUGUUCGCACAUUAAAGCGGUACGUGAGCUGGGUUCAGAACGUCGUAAGACAGUUCGGUCCCUAUCUGCUGUGGGUGAAGGAAGCUUGAAGGGAGUCGCUCCUAGUACGAGAGGACCGAAGUGAGUGUACCUCUGGUGAACCAGCUGUCAGGCCAAUGGCAGGAGCUGGGUAGCUAAGUACGUAACAGAUAACCGCUGAAAGCAUCUAAGCGGGAAACUGACCCUAAGAUGGAGCUUCCCAUUCGUAAGAAGUAAGGGUUGUUCGAGACUAGGACGUUGAUAGGUCGCAGGUGUAAGUGCAGCGAUGCAUUGAGCCGAGCGAUACUAACAGCCCGAGGCUUUGGCC
rnacentral:rRNA from 1 species